GCGUGUUUGUGUAAAAAACUAAUGCCAAUUCUACUAUCACAUCCUUCAGAACUUGAUUUAAAAGGAAAGGCUGAAGAAUUUUGGAAUCGUUGGAAUUUUGGAAUUGGAAUUUUAACGUUAUCGUAGCCAUCGACGGAAAACACGUACGAAUGAUGUGGCCAGAUAAGAGCGGCUCCCUAUUUAUUAACUAUAAAAAUCAUAUGGGAAAGGGGGUGAUGCAGGUAUUUUUUCAACAUCUGGAAUUGGACAUCAAAUUUACUGUGAAAAAUUCAAUUUCACUCAACCUACGUUACUUCCCCGUUCAAAAAAUGUGAUUUUACCGCAUGUUAUUGUUGGAGAUGAUGCGUUUAAACUUGAUAAAUAUCUCAUCAAACUUUACCCAAAAAAACAAGUUUUAAGGUACGGUCUAUCUGCAGCGAUUAAUCGAUACGACUAAACGUAACGAUAAGACGCGCUGGUUGCUGCAUAUACAUAUGCACGUAGGCGGUCUAUUUUCUGCGACAAAUUAUUAAAAUAUGGCGAAAUAUAAUAAAGGUCACAGAUUACGAUUUUCAAAAGAAGAAGAUGAAACUCUGAUUAAUGAAGUCGCUCAGCAUUCUGCCAUCUACGACCCUAAACAUAAUCUAUAUAAGCAUCAAAAUGUACGAGAUAAUACCUGGGAGAACAUUUCACAGGUGGUAAGCAAAAGUGUGGAGGAGUGCAAGAAGAGAUAGAAAAGUUUGAAAGAUGUUUACUGGAAAAACAAAAAAGAAAGCAAACACGGAACAGGUUCAGCAGCCAGACGAACCAUCAAAUGGGAACAUAUGGAUGCGCUAGCUUUUCUUGAUAGAGUGGCGACAUAUAGACAAACCAUAACCAACGUAACUGCAAAUGAGGAAGAUAAUUCAGCGCAAGCAGUACACAAUGUAACUAAUGAAGAUAUCUUGGAAAAAAGAGACGGAACGACAGAAUUGGAGGCACCGGAAGACAAAAUUAUUUUUUGCGAGUAUGGCAGAAACUGUCAUGACAUUUCCACCAGCGCUAGCUGCUCGGGCUAACAUGCGAGUAAUGGAAGUAAUAAGUGAAUUAGAGCUGGAAAGUUAUGGAAUCAGUUCUACAUCAUCGUAAGGCUCCCUAAACCGAGUGUCUGUCCGUACCGGUCCUUUGAGUUCUAUUUCAUCGUAUACUCCUGCGAGACUCUGAUGCUACAACAGCUUAUACAGACUCGAGUUACGCGACACCAAGUUCCGUUGAGCAACCGAGAGAGUACGAAGACUGUGCUGAUUUAUUCAGCACCACAACUUUUUA